rnacentral:rRNA from 1 species
AUGGAGAAGCUGCAAGGUGUGGGCCUGAAGCCAUGGAUGGAUGUGGUUGGUAUGAGGAUUGCAGAUGGCGAGGAGGCACCGAACCGAGCGGCGGGCAAGGACGAGGUGAAGCUGCGUGCACGUCGUACUAUCCCUUCUCCGCCUACUGUUACUGGAAGCAAGAACAGUACAAUAUCAUCUCAUCCACGAGGUGAGCUCCCGUCCGCGUGCCCGCGAGCUGCUUGUGUUUAUGCCCAUAUCAUUUCUCUGUUCACCGACACCCCCACGACAGCCUACAGCCUCUGCCCACCUACAAUCCUCAUUGUUUGUUUAGUUCUCAGUAACCCACCUUGA